rnacentral:lncRNA from 1 species
CAUCACGCCGGGCGCCUAUACCAGAUCCGAGCAGCGGCCGUUGCUGCUCCACCGCGCCCGAAGCGCCGCCCGUCGCCGCAAGCCGAGCGCCCGGCCCUCCCCAGCCGCAACAGGAACUGCAGCAGCCAGAUCUGGACUAGGAGCAAAGGCCCAGAGCCCCCCCAAGCCUCCUCCUCCACCCCGCUGCGCUGCCAAGCAACAGCAGCCAAGCCUCCUCGCAGCCCCCAGCAGGGCACCGAGAUCCAGCCCUCGCCCGUGCGCGGCUGCACUCCAGCCGCCGCGAACCAGCAGCAAGAGGCCCCGCCACCGCCAUCCUCGAUGGCCUUGCAGGCUUUCCCGUUAGCCAUCUCCGGCAGCGACGAGGGGAAGGGAGGUGGGUGGGGGAGAUGGCAGCCUGGCUGGCGAGUCGCCUCCCGUGUCGCCCCGUCUGGGGAGCGACGCGAGAGCUCUUCCUUGAUUAGGCAGGAUUACUGGCAAAUCGUCAUUGCAGGUUAACUUCAGGCCCUUGCUAGGUCGUCAAAAAGGUUGCAUUCUCAUGUCAACUAACCGUUCAUUGUAGUUCAAGGUUUACCUAAUUUGUAGGUAAAGUUUACAGAACAGAAGAACAAAAGGAAGUACCAGAAAGAUGCAUAAUAUCCUAACCUCUUCAGAAAAAAUUGAGGACUUUGUGCCCAGAAUCAACUGGUGAUUUGUUAAGUACUUGAGCACAUGGAGAACUGACUUGAGCAAAGUUUCUUGCUUCACCACCUGCUACUACCAAUUAAACAGUUUCUUCCAUAUGGAAAUUUCUCACCGGAGUGUGGAGAGCCAAAGAGAUCCAGCCCGGUCCAUGGAUGCAGGCUCUAGCUGCGGAUAUGACGGCACCGACAAGAACUGAGUAGCAAGAUCCCACAUCAGGAUCAAUGGUGCUAGCACAUGAAAGGGAUCAAUCUGGACUGGACAAUCUCAAUACACCUCAAUCUGGACCGCACUAUCUUAAUCUGGCGGUUCUCGUUAGGGCUAAGAGCGCAGUUUGUUUAUCUCCCGUGCUGUCACCGGCAGACUCGUCCACUUCCACCGCCCGUCCCCUCCUCCCUCCAACUGCUGCUGCUGCUGCUGCUUCCUGCUCUCGCAGUCCACGCCCACAAACUAUGACCCCAUGGUUUCUCUACUACUUCCUUCAGCAAUGUGAACGAACUUGUGUACAAACUACAAACUAUGGCAAAAGAAUGUG